rnacentral:lncRNA from 1 species
CGCCGCACGACGCAGCACCGAGCCCACGCUCACCUUUGCGCCUGCAAAAAAAUAGACCGUUUUUUAAAUAGAACCAAAAUUUAUGCGCAGCGCCAAAGGGCGCGAGCCGAAUCAACGAUGCGAAACAGGUCGCCGUCGCCCAAGUCAGCGGCGACCAAAGGACACACCAACGACAGCACCGACGGUAAAAGGGAAUACCAACAGUGAGAGGAAUGACAAAGACGAUGCCGGCGCCCCAGUGGGGUUCGGUGGAGCGUGAACGGGUCGACCGCAGCGACAGAGCGGCAAUUGACGGGGCGAGUCUGAGGAAUGACGUCAACGGGGGAAGCGGCCUCGGUGCGCAUGACGUCGACAUGUCUGCAGCGACCCUCGGCCCGCACUCUUGUCUCGUCGUCGGCGGGCGUGCCGUGGACCGCGGCGUCGAGGAUAAACAUGCGGAGGUGGUCCAACGCGUCUCUCGUGUGGGUUCGGUCAUCGGCGGUCAGGUGCCGGGUCCCGUCGUCUGAUCGGGGAUGGACAAAGUCGUCGAGGCGUGCAUGGCGCCUGGCGGCCCGCUGGGCCUCGAUACGAUCGUGGCCGAGGAUGACCGGUAAGCGCCGUUGCAUCUCCUCGCGUAUUCUCGCGCGCUCGCCAUCGCAGAGGUCCCACAGCCGGGCCUGAGCCAAAAUGCACAAAUCGAGCCGAAAAAAAAAUC